rnacentral:piRNA from 1 species
CGGCGGAAUGGGGACGGCGGCCUU